GGGAUAGAAUUCCAGGAGUAGCGGUGAAAUGCGUAGAUAUCUGGAGGAAUACCAAAGGCGAAGGCAGUCCCCUGGUCCGAUACUGACACUGAGGUACGAAAGCGUGGGGAGCAAACAGGAUUAGAUACCCUGGUAGUCCACGCCCUAAACGAUGUCGAUUAGCCAUUGGAAGGACCCCUUUUCCUUUCAGUGACGUAGCUAACGCGUUAAAUCGACCGCCUGGGAAGUACGACCGCAAGGGUUAAAACUCAAAGGAAUUGACGGGGACCUGAACAAGCGGUGAAUGAUGUGGAUUAAUUCGAUGCUACGCGAAGAACCUUACCUACCUUUGACAUGGCCAAAGUUCUACCGAGAGGCGGAAGUACUCGUAAGAGGAUUGGCGCACAGGUGCUGCAUGGUUGUCGUCAGUUCGUGUCGUGAGAUGUUGGGUUCAGUCCCGCAACGAACGCAACCCUUAUCUUUAAUUGCUCCUAUUUUAACAGGCACUUUAAAGAAACUGCCAAUGAUAAGUUGGAGGAAGGUGGGGAUCACGUCAAGUCCGCAUGGCCUUUAUAGGUAGGGCUUCACACGUCAUACAAUGGUUAGAACAAAGAGCUGCAAAUUCGUAAGAAGGAGCCAAUCUCACAAACCUAACCUCAGUUCGAAUUGCGGUCUGCAACUCGAGCGCAUGAAGCCGGAAUCGCUAGUAAUCGUGGAUCAGAAUGCCACGGUGAAUACGUUCUUAGGUCUU
rnacentral:rRNA from 1 species